UCUGCCCCUCGUGAGGGCGUGUCGGGGACCCGAGUGAUGAACCCUAGGGGAUGUGGAGUCCUGUCCCCCGAGGACUCGGGUGAUGCUUAGGGUGGCCAGUGGUGCCAUUUCCUGCUGCCCAAAGCCCUGCAAAGGAGAGGGGCGGGAGCCCAGGGAUGCAGUGGGCAGGGCUCUGCCUCCGGGGGCCUGGGCAGGACAGAGGAGGCCGGAGGGGCAGGAGAGAGGGCCUGAAUCCGGUGCCUUACCCUGUGUCUUAAAACAGCGGCAACUCCCAGAAAUGUUCACAGGAUGCUCGCUCUGUCCCAGGACCACGGAGCUUCUGAUGACAGGGACAGAGCUGAAGUCUCCAACACCAUCGAGCCUCUUCCAAAACUCCCCGGUCCCAACUCGGGAAGACCCAGCUCCGAGGUCAGCAGAUAGUGGUGCCUGUGCUGAGUCAGUCGCUGCCUUGCACAUGAGCUGCGUGUGUCUGCCCCUGAAGCCAGAGAGGGCGCAUCUUUGA
rnacentral:lncRNA from 1 species